GUCAAUAUAAAAAUAUGUUAUUCCUCAUCUGUAUUCGAGAGUAGGUAGGCAGAUAGGUAGUACUGGUAACAUAAGGAUAAAAAUAUACAUUAUUUUUUAUCUCUCUUUUCUUCUUACGAUCCAAAUGGUAUGUAACGUAGUUUACGCAGUUUGAAUAAACUCUAUCAAUAUUUCUCGUGUGCAAUGUGUAUCGAUAAUAAAUACGGGUAACAUUAAUUGUCACGUAUAAUUGUUUCUUUGAAAGUUGAAUUUUUUUUCCUGACAUAGAAGUUAGGGGGGUCAGAAUAAUUAGUCGGUGCAGCAUUGUGCUAUCACGUUAAAAGCAGGUGAAGAAGAAGUAGAAGAAGAAGAAGGGCUUGUUUCGAGUCACAAUUUCUUAGUGGUUUUGGUUACUCUUGUAGCGUAGCAGCUUGGGCUGGUUUCCAGCGUUCAGAAAACGAUAAUCUCAACAAAAUUUCGAUACCCUGGAAUGUUUUAGCAGCAACCCCCCUGCAACCGUGAUUACACAAAGCAGCAUGAACACGAUCGAUCAAUAAAAUAUUUUCGGUUUAUUAAUUUUUCUUCUGUUGUCAUUAUUACUUCAUUUCCAUGGCUCUGAAAACGUGUAUCAUGUUUCAGCUGAUUAUGCCAAAUUAUCUAAGUUGUAUAAAUAGUAGAUAAUUGUAUUAUUGUUAUGUACGUACGUACAGCUGGAAAAUAAAAACCACCUUUAAGCGUA